ACCAUGACAAAUCAUUAGACAACUGUGCACUGAUGAGUGAUGAUCAUUUUAAAAAGGGCAAAAUUCAUUUUACCCAUGUGGUUUGAGCUCGUCACCCCCUUAUGGUUCAAAUAUAACCAGCAGUUUCUAAUUUUGGAGUGUGGGUAGCUCACAUUAGUUUUAGCCUCGAUCACCACCCAAAUGGAAUGAGAUUUGGCCAUUACACAUCAAUUUAGUUUGCUUCUACUCUAGAUUUGGGUUUUUAAGUCAUCUGUCAUGAUAACAGCAAGUUUGUGCUAGACUUGUAAUGAAAUAUAACAUAACCACAGGUCAAAGGGCUUUCCAGGGAAGAACUAGCCAGUUGUAAUGAUCUAGUUCUUGCACUACCAGAGAGGGUUAAAUCAAUUCCAGAUGGGACCACAUCCAUGGUCAAACAAACUGGAGGCAGGACAGCUUCAGCAUCUCGUAAAAAUAUCAAAUUUGACUAGGGUGAUUUUCGUUUGCUAAUGCUUUUUAUUGAGUUUUCGUUGCCAGUUGUCAUAUACAAGAGCCUUAUUUAUUGUUGUCAGCGUACUUGCUUUGUUUUGUACGAACCACAGAUGGCACUCUGGUAUUGAAUUUCUUUCAACAGAUUGAAGAAUCAAACCUUUUUAGGGAAGAAUAUGAAAUGCGGAGAAUGAAACAAGCGACACCUCUUCAAUUACUCUUUCAAGCCUAAUGUUACUUUUCUCCCAUAAUUAUGCAUUUUCAUCUAAUUUCAAUUGAUUAAACACAGGAUCAAGGCUUAGAUAUUAUAUCAGGGAUACACCGAAGAAUUCGGCCCAUGAUGUGGAGGAAUUGGAUAGGCAAGUUCCAUUGAUUGAUGAAACGGAUACAAAGGUUGGAAACUUGACAUCAAACUGCCUUCCAAUAAGAUCAGAGUAUCAAACUAUGUUGGUGGAAGUUUUAUAAUCUAGUGCGGUCUAUGGUGUCUUCACAGGUGGAUAGGGCUACAGCUUUAGAAUGAACGAAACAGUUAAUAAGGUAAUUGAUCAUAAUGUUACAUUAAAUUUUGUUUGCCUACUUACACAUCUUGUCAUUUAUUUCUUCUAUCUUGUCGAAUUGUGUCAAUAAUUUGAAUUAUUCAGUUUGUUGCAGAUAAGGACAAGUCAAAAUUUCUGUGUCGACAUCAUUAUGUUGUGUUUCUGGGAAUUGCAUUCUAUUUAUACAAGUGGGCCCCCUAUCUUGUGCAAUAUCUAGCUUAAGAUCACAUUGGAAGAUGCAUUUAUUGUACCACACUCCUAUUUUUAUGAGUGAGAAAGUUUUUUUUUUUUUUUUUUCUUACCAUGGCCUUUAUGGAUGGUUGUCUUUUUUACAUUUUUAGUAAUGACGAAUAAAAAUAGCAGCAGCAUAACUUACUCAACUCAACUAAGCCCUGUCCUAACUAGUACUAGGAGUAGUGAUAUUUGUGGUGUUUGCAAAAAUUAACAUUCAGAACUUAUUACCUUCCAAACAAGAAAAAAUACAGAAAGAAAAACAUGGACUCUGUCUACCCUUUUUAGCCAUGUAAAACACAUCCAAUUUGAAUGGGAUUUUCUGGUUCACUAGUCUGACCUGCUAAUCUGGAACUUCAAUGUUGAAUGCAAUGCUGCAUGUGCUUGGAAACAGGACACUGAUACAAAUGACAUAGAUAAGUUGAUACAACAAACCUUUUUUAUUAUAAUUUUACUUUGGUGAAAAGGAAAAUUUAUAAAAUCCAGAGGCAAUCAAGAGUGCAAAAGAGGUAAGGUUGUUUUCAUGAAUUAGCAUCUUUUUGCAGAAUCUUGCCUCAUGGAAGAUACUGGAUAUCUGAACAGAUUCAACAACCACCUGCAAUCCAAAAUUCUGGAACUAUAAUGGUGAGUGUGGUGUGGAUGGUCAGUCUGCAUUCAAUGUGAUUGGCAGGUUGUUGCAACCUUUGUUUAAGGCAUCUUACAACCCAUCUGAUCUUAAAAAAAAGUAGAAAUCCACAUUGUUUUGAUUUUAAUGAUUGACCCCCCAAGUUAUUUUCUUCAAAGUUGUGUCAAGAGCCGUAUGUGUUUAAAUAAUAGAUACACAUGUGCUCAAAAUGUUUGAAGUGUGGCCGGUUCUAAAAUCAGUCACAGUGCUCUUGGUCCUACUGUCAAACCAGCUUAUGUGACAAUUACUUCUCUUUCCUUACCAACUUCAUGUUAUUUUCUUUUUCCAAAUAAAUAUAUGUUUAUUGAUUCCAGAGAAAUUAGUCUAACAGAAUCCUGCUUUGUUUGAUACAGUAUACUGAAGUAAAUCAUCACAAAAGCUUCGCAUAGUGCUGGUGGUCUCUGUGUUGUCUGGUUUAGGGAUGAAAGAGGACCGAGUUGUGGUCAAUCUUGACUUGGUAAUUGGGUACUAAUAUACAUGCUAUUCCUCCAUGUUUUCCAUAGGAUUUGAAGAGAUGUAUAGACUAUAAAUUAGUUUAUCUGUGAAAUCUUGAAGUAUCCUUGUUUUCGACAUAUCUUGAGGUAAAUUGUCACACCCACUCAAUUUCUAUAAGAAACAAUAUGAAUAAAUAUCACUGAACAGAUUAAUAAUUUGUUUGGUGCAGCUUAUAGGACUGCUUAUAACUUCUUUUUAUUUGAAAGUCGUGCCAAAUUGUUUAGUGUUUCUUCUGCUUAUAGUUUAUAAGGCCAGAAUAUAUUAAAUAAGCUGAAAAAAGGAAGCAAGGGGAUCGAUGCUUUUAGCUUCUAAUUUGAGCUUGCAAGAAACUGCACCAAGCAGGUCGUAAAUCUUGCUAAAACUCGGGCUAUGUUUGGAUCUUACAUUUUUUGUAGGGGGAAAAAAGGAAGUGGAAAUGAAGUUCAAUGUUUUCAUUUUCCGGAAAAUACAAAUGAAUUCUCUCUUUUCUCUUUGUUUUCCUUUUUCUUUCACAAAUUCAAGAUCCAAACACAACCUUAAGAAUUAAAGAAACACUUUAAACACAUAAUCCAAGAACCACCCCAAUAUGUUCAAUAAUAAUUCAAAAAACUACCCCACCUUGUCCCCAAAUCAAGGACACUGUGUAUACAUGGGUCUCAAAUAAUGCAGCCUAGUUUUAGUUUUAGUUUCAGCCAAUACUUUUCGUAUGUUUAGUGAGAUAACCAUCUAACCAAUGCUCAUUCAAAGUUAAGUUAGUCUGUCCAACGAAAUUGGAGUCAAUAUUAUAAAAUGUUAUCCAUAGAAAAAUGGCAGCUGGAUGAUAACAUCCUCUUCGAACAGUACAAGCCAAUAAUACCCAAGGCCUGGAAUUGUCUCGAAAUGGACUGCAGAUUGAAACUCUGGUUUAUCUUUUUCUGUAAAAACCUCAUGCAUACAUCAAAUUAAACUUUGUUGCCAUCGAAUUAAUCGUGUCUUUAUACAUAAACAAAGAGAUUACGAAUCCUAGGGGUGAUUUGUUUGCUAAUGUAUUGGUCUUGGGAAGAGCUUAUCUUAUUUUAAUGAAUGUGAAUGAGACUCGGUUUGGAUAUAUAUGUUACGAAUCAUGAAAAAAAUAUCAUGAAAAUGAUCAUGAAAGAUUCUCCACCUUUGGAUUACGCCUAAAAUAAAACACCACACAUUAAUCAAGGGAUAAAAAAUCUUCAUGAUGCGUUUCAUGAUGUUUUUUUCAUGACUCUUAGUACGAGGAAAAGGAUAGAAAAGCAAACCACUUGAAAUGUACAAUUUAUGCAUUUGACACCUAUCACAGCCUGACACGUUGAAUCACCUUUGACUGAUAACAUUUUUUAUGUUAAGAUUUGUUACAGACUACGAUUUUUCAGUGGUUUUUUGGUGUCUCUGGACUUACGCUUUCUGUGGUGUUGGAUAUUUGGAAUUGUAGAAAAAGCUAAACAAGGGUGAAAUGGUGAGCAUUGCUGUAAUAUAUAUAUAUAUGAUGAUGAUGAUGAUUUGUCCUCCUGGUAUAUGUUUUCAAUAACAGUUUUGAUACAAACACAGAAUUAAACACAGAACGCAUAUUCACAAAUGAGAUUUUCAAAACUAUUAUGUACCUAGAAUUUGUACACCGAAAAUUAUCUUGAAAGCAAGCUGUAUUUAGAUUCAAACCAAUGUGGUCCAUUUGAUGUAGUUUUUAUGGAAUUUUUUUUUUUUUUAGAUACUUUUUCUGAUUUUAUAGAAUCUGUUGAUGGAAUUGACUUUUGAAAAUCUUGUCUAUUUAUUUACAUUUUGUGUUUGAUUUUGUGAUCGAUUUCUAUAAUUUAGGGCUUAAUUCUUUAAUGAGAAUUUGCUAGCACUUGUUUUUGAUGCUGGUAGUGUUGUUCUUGUUGGCUUCUACUAAAACGGGUCAAUGUUGUGUUUACACCCAGCAGAAGUAGUGGCUGUGAUUUUGCCACGUGGAAGCAUGCCAUGCCAACUUCUGAAACAGUUUGGAGAAUCAAUGAACCAGCAGAGAUUAGUCAUUGGGCUGAUUCAAAUUAAUUAGUCUUGAGCCCUGAAUUUUGUGUUGGAGAUGCUUCAAGUUGAUCCGACCAAGCCAAAAGCUAGGUAUAUAUUUUCGGUCUUGAAUAUGGAUAACAAUUGGAGUGAGUCAGGUGGAAAAAUCGAGGCAAAUAACCAGUGCAAAUUUUAUGUGAAUUGACAAAAAUGCCCUACAUAUUUGACUUAGAGAUCUCAAUUAAGGGAUAUACUCUUUUUUGUUAUUUCGUUAGAAUUUGGCCCGGGUUGUAGAGGAAUUAAGACCAUCUACUUUUUUUUUAUACACUAUUUA